rnacentral:lncRNA from 1 species
UGUGAAGUCAAAACAUAUACAGUGGUGCCCCGCAAGACGAACGCCUCGCAAAACGAAAAACUCGCAAGACGAAAGGUUUUUUCGUUUUCGAGUUGCUUCGCAAGACGAAUGUCCCUAUGGGCUUGCUUCGCAAGACGAAAACGUCUUGCAAGUUUGUUUCCUUUUUCGUAAAACCGUUAAAACCCAGGGUGCAUUGCUUGAAGAGGUGCAGUUGCGACUUGACCUCGAGGAGCAACACAUUGCACGCGGUGUGGUGGCCUUUCUGAGCUUUUUAAAGAGUUUGCUGGAUUUUUGAAGCUUUUCCAAAACUUCUUCUACAGCUGUUUGGUAAGUUGAACUUUUAAAACUUGUUUGGGGUUUUUGGGAUUUUGGGUUGGGGUGUUUAGAAUUCAAGGACUUGGUGUUGGGGAGAGGUUUGCAAGAAUCUGGGAGCUUGUGUGGUUUUUUUCUGCAUUUUUAUGAUUUUCUGUGACCAUUGGGCCAUGUUUAUUUUUUUUAAAAAAAAAAUCUGGCUUUGAAUUUUUGAAUUUCUGUGUGCUGGGUGGAUGGGGGAACAGCUGGGGAGGUGUUUGCAAGAAUCUGGGAGCUUGUGUGCUUUUUUUUGAAUUUUUAUGAUUUUUUGUGACCAUUGGGCCAUGUUGGUUUUUUUUGAAAAAAGUUUCUGGGUUUUAAAUUUCUGUGUGCUGGGUGGAUGGGGGAACAGCUGGGGAGGUGUUUGCAAGAAUCUGGGAGCUUGUGUGCUUUUUUUUGAAUUUUUAUGAUUUUUUGUGACCAUUGGGCCAUGUUGUUUUUUUUCAAAAAGUUUCUGGGUUUUAAAUUUCUGUGUGCUGGGUGGAUGGGGGAACAGCUGGGGAGGGGUUUGCAAGAAUCUGGGAGCUUGUGUGCUUUUUUUUGAAUUUUUAUGAUAUUUUGUGACCAUUGGGCCAUGUUGUUGUUUUUUUGAAAAAAAUUUCUGGGUUUUAAAUUUCUGUGUGCUGGGUGGAUGGGGAACAGCUGGGGAGGGGUUUGCAAGAAUCUGGGAGCUUGUGUGCUUUUUUUUGAAUUUUUAUGGUUUUCUGUAACCAUUGGGCCAUGUUGUUGUUUUUUGAAAAAGUUUCUGGGUUUUAAAUUUCUGUGUGCUGGGUGGCUGGGGGAACAGCUGGGGAGGGGUUUGCAAGAAUCUGGGAGCUUGUGUGCUUUUUUUUGAAUUUUUAUGGUUUUCUGUAACCAUUGGGCCAUGUUGUUUUUUUUUGAAAAAGUUUCUGGGUUUUAAAUUUCUGUGUGCUGGGUGGCUGGGGGAACAGCUGGGGAGGGGUUUGCAAGAAUCUGGGAGCUUGUGUGCUUUUUUUUGAAUUUUUAUGGUUUUCUGUAACCAUUGGGCCAUGUUGUUUUUUUUUGAAAAAGUUUCUGGGUUUUGAAUUUCUGUGUGCUGGGUGGCUGGGGGAACAGCUGGGGAGGGGUUUGCAGGAAUCUGGGAGCUUGUGUGCUUUUUUUUGAAUUUUUAUGGUUUUCUGUAACCAUUGGGCCAUGUUGUUUUUUUUUGAAAAAGUUUCUGGGUUUUGAAUUUCUGUGUGCUGGGUGGCUGGGGGAACAGUUGAGGAGGGGUUUGCAGGAAUCUGGGAGCUUGUGUGCUUUUUUUUGAAUUUUUAUGGUUUUCUGUAACCAUUGGGCCAUGUUGUUUUUUUUUGAAAAAGUUUCUGGGUUUUGAAUUUCUGUGUGCUGGGUGGCUGGGGGAACAGUUGAGGAGGGGUUUGCAACAGUUGGGGAGGGGUUUGCAACAGUUGGGGAGGGGCUGGGGGAACAGUUGAGGUUUUUGAAGACUUUGGUGAUUUUUAAAGCUUUCCCAAAAUUUCUUUUGCAGCCAUUUGAGGAUUUUGAAGACUUUGGUGAUUUGCAGCCAUUUCGUAAGUUAAACUUUUAAAACUUUUUUUGGGGUUUUUGGAUUUUGGGUUGGGUGUUUGGAAUUCAAGGACUUGGUUGUGGGUUUGAAUUGCUGAUUUUUUUUUUCUUUUCUGAGUUUUACAAAGGUAACAGCUGUGCUGCCAUGGGACCCAAGAAGACUGCUGCUGCUGCGGAGGCCGGCGAGAGGAAGAAGGAGAAGGUGACGCUGGAGAUGAAGAAGGAGAUCAUCCGGAAGCACGACGGUGGAAUGCGUGUGACGGACCUCGCCAGGGAGUACGGCAGGAACCCAUCGACCAUCGGGACCAUCCUGAAGAUGAGGGAGAAGAUCCUUGCGACUGAUGCAGCCAAGGGAGUCACCAGGAUCGUGAAGAACCGCCCAGCUGUUCUGGAGGAGGUCGAGAAGUUGCUCCUCAUCUGGAUAGAAGAGAAGCAGCGUGCAGGGGACACAGUGACUGAGGCCGUGAUUUGUGAGAAGGCCAAGGCCUUGCACGCAGACCUCAUCCGGGAACAGCCAGGAACCUCGGCCGAGCCAGAAGUCUUCAAGGCAAGCAGAGGCUGGUUUGACCGGUUCAAGGCAAGAUCCGGAAUCCACAGCGUGGUCAGGCAUGGAGAGGCUGCCAGUUCUGAUGUUCCUGCGGCUGAAGACUUUGCCUUGGAGUUCCUGGAGGUUGUGAAGACGGAGGGCUACGUUCCACAGCAGGUCUUCAACUGCGACGAGACCGGGCUGUUUUGGAAGAGGAUGCCCAAAAGGACUUUCAUCACUCAGGAGGAGGCCAAGUUGCCUGGCCACAAGCCCAUGAAGGACCGUCUGACCCUGCUCUUCUGUGCCAACGCAAGCGGCGACCUGAAGAUCAAGCCCCUGCUGGUGUACCACUCGGAGAACCCACGGGCCUUCAAGAAACACAAGGUCGACAAGGAGCGGCUGAGUGUCAUGUGGCGAUCCAACAGCAAGGCUUGGGUCACACGUGUGCUGUUUGUGGACUGGGUCAAUCUUGCCUUUGGCCCUGCUGUCAAACAGUACCUGCUGGACAAUGACCUGCCGCUGAAGGCUUUGCUUCUGAUGGACAAUGCUCCUGCUCAUCCUAAAGGCCUUGAGGUGGACUUGUUGGAGGAGUUCAGCUUCAUCAACAUCAUGUUCCUGCCGCCUAACACCACGCCACUGCUCCAGCCGAUGGAUCAGCAGGUCAUCGCCAAUUUCAAGAAACUCUACACCAAGGAGCUUUUCAGGCGAUGCUUCGAGGUGACUGAUUGCACCACCAUCACCCUGCGGGAAUUCUGGAAGGACCACUUCGACAUCGUCACCUGCUUGAAGAUGAUCACCACGGCCUGGAAGGGGAUCAGCCAGAGGAAUUUGAAUUGCGCUUGGCGCAGCCUGUGGCCGGACUGUGUGGCACCAAGUGACUCUGAUGCACCAGAGUCGACAGUGGUGCAGGACAUUGUUGCCUUGGGGAGGACCUUGGGCCUGGAGGUCACAGAGGAGGACGUUUGCGAGCUGGUGGAGGAGCACGACGACGAGCUGACCACCCAGGAGCUGGUUGCACUGCAGUCAGAGGUUGCGCAGGAGCAGGCCUCGCUGGAAGAGGAGGAAGCAACUGAGGAACGGCUGUCCUCCAAAGAACUGAGGGACAUUUGCCAGAAGUGGAAUGAGGUGCAGGCUUUUGCAGAGCGGCACCACCCUGACAAGCACGUGGCACAUGACCAAGCGAACAUUUUUGAUACGACGGUCAUGUCGCCUCUCAGGGAGCUGCUGAAACGGCGGAUGAAGCAGCAGACCAUGGACAGGUUCCUCAGCAAGAAGCAAAGAGUGGAAGAGGAACCUUCUUCGAGUGGUCCCCAGAGUCUUAGAAAAUGUAAUGUACCCUUUUUUGAUUUUUAAAUGUUUUUCCUGUCAUGUUUAGAAACUUAAUUUAUUGUUCCUUCAAUUUUUGAUAUGCUCUUUAAAGUAUGUGUGACUUUAAAGAGCAGUUAAUAAACUCUUGUUGUACCGAAUUUGGCUUUGAUUGGACUUUUUUUGACCAUAGGAACGCAUUAAUUGAAUUUCAAUGCAUUCCUAUGGGAUUUCGUGCUUCGCAAGACGAAAAAUUCGCUAGACGAAAAAACUCGCGGAACGAAUUAAUUUCGUCUUGCGAGGCACCACUGUA